CACAGGGUUAGAGCCAGAAGCAGAGGUUGUGCACAAGGGGUUUGGGAAGGAAUGAUGCUAUCAAGGAGACCAAAGAGAGCUGGUUCUGGGAGUAACGGAGGAAGCACUUUCCAGGGAAGAGGAAGCAGGAUGACGGUGCUGCGGAUGAGCUCAGCCAACACACAGAAAAUCAGUGUUGUUAGGGAACGAGUCUCCUGGACGUAGGGCUGAUAACUAUGUGUUUCGUGUUUCGCUGAUGCACUUGACAUGGAGUGACUGAUAAAUGGACCAUGGAUACCUUUGCUUUCUGUCUCCAGUGGAUGUUCAGAUACAUUCAACAACUGGAUGGUAUAUUCUACACAGUGAAGAUUAUCCCUUAAAAAGAUACACUCAGAGCCACACGCUGGGCAGUGAAGGCCCAGCCCCUCCUUCUAUCUGGAAAACCAGAGCCCCCACCACGAGGCCUCAUGGGCAGCGUCUCAGGAGCCACCACACAGGACUCAUGUGUCUCUGAAUUUAAUUCAUCGGUUUAACAGUUACAUAGGCCCUUCAUGCAUGUAUUUUGAGCAGACUAGAAAACACCAGUACCUAUUAAUUCUUUUUUUUUUUUUUUUCAAAAGAAGCCAUUAAAUAUUAUGAGAAAAUAUAUAUGGGGUAGAAUAAAAUGUUUAUACAUAGUUUUGGGGUUUUUUUU
rnacentral:lncRNA from 1 species